AUGGCGCGCCACGGCGGCGCCGCCCUGCUCCUGCUGCCGCUCCUCCUCGCCCUCGCCGGCUCCGUCGCGGGAGAUGCGCUGCCGCCGCGCCCACUCGUCAUCCAGCUGCCCACGGAGGAGAAGCGGGCCGAGGAGGCUGCUGAAGCGGAGCUGCGGUGCGCGAGCUGGAGGCUGGCGGGGGAGGCCAACAACCUGGCGCCGUGGGCGGCCGUGCCGGAGGGCUGCGUGCCGCACGUGUGCGCAUAUCUCACCGGCCCCGCCUACCGCUCCGACCUCGACCUCGUCGCGCGCGAGGCCUCCGCAUACGCCCGCUCCGCACGCGCCGCCGACGCCGCCUGGGUCUUCGACAUCGACGAGACGCUGCUCUCCAACCUCCCCUACUACGCGCAGCACGGAUACGGGCUGGAGCUGUUCGACCACCGCGAGUUCGACCGGUGGGUGGAGACGGGGGAGGCGCCGGCGAUCCCCUCCAGCCUCCGCCUCUACAGGGAGGUGCGCGACCUGGGGUUCAAGACCUUCCUCCUCACCGGCCGCACCGAGGCCCACCAGGCCGUCACCGUCGACAACCUCAGGAGACAGGGCUUCCACGACUGGGACAAGCUCAUACUCAGGGCAGCAGCUGACCGGGAGAAAACGGCGACGGCCUACAAGUCGGAGAAGAGGAAGGAGAUGGAGGCGGAGGGGUACAAGAUCCUGGGCAACUCCGGCGACCAGUGGAGCGACCUGCUGGGCUACUCCAUGAGCGCCCGCUCCUUCAAGCUCCCCAACCCGAUGUACUACGUCCCCUGA
rnacentral:rRNA from 1 species